rnacentral:rRNA from 1 species
UCCUACCGACAGUCCGGCCUAAAAAGCCGGGCGGAGGGAGGAAGGACUAAGUCACGCA